UCCCUGGUGGCUCAGAUGGUAAAGCAUCUGCCUACAAAGCGGGAGACCCGGGUUCGAUCCCUAGGCUGGGAA
rnacentral:tRNA from 1 species